UGGGGAAUUUUGGACAAUGGGCGAAAGCCUGAUCCAGCAAUGCCGCGUGUGUGAAGAAGGCCUUCGGGUUGUAAAGCACUUUUGUCCGGAAAGAAAUCCUUGGCUCUAAUACAGUCGGGGGAUGACGGUACCGGAAGAAUAAGCACCGGCUAACUACGUGCCAGCAGCCGCGGUAAUACGUAGGGUGCAAGCGUUAAUCGGAAUUACUGGGCGUAAAGCGUGCGCAGGCGGUUUGCUAAGACCGAUGUGAAAUCCCCGGGCUCAACCUGGGAACUGCAUUGGUGACUGGCAGGCUAGAGUAUGGCAGAGGGGGGUAGAAUUCCACGUGUAGCAGUGAAAUGCGUAGAGAUGUGGAGGAAUACCGAUGGCGAAGGCAGCCCCCUGGGCCAAUACUGACGCUCAUGCACGAAAGCGUGGGGAGCAAACAGGAUUAGAUACCCUGGUAGUCCACGCCCUAAACGAUGUCAACUAGUUGUUGGGGAUUCAUUCCUUAGUAACGUAGCUAACGCGUGAAGUUGACCGCCUGGGGAGUACGGUCGCAAGAUUAAAACUCAAAUGAAUUGACGGGGUCAUAGCUGUUUCC
rnacentral:rRNA from 1 species